AUUGAACGCUGGCGGCAGGCCUAACACAUGCAAGUCGAACGCGUGGCGGACGGGUGAGUAAUGUCUGGGAAACUGCCCGAUGGAUGGGGAUAACUACUGGAAACGGUAGCUAAUACCGCAUACCAUCGGAUGAGCCCAGAUGGGAUUAGCUAGUAGGUGGGGUAAAGGCUCACCUGGGCGACGAUCCCUAGUUGGUCUGAGAGGAUGACCAGCCACACUGGAACUGAGAAACGGUCCAGACUCCUACGGGAGGCAGCAGUGGGGAAUAUUGCACAAUGGGCGCAAGCCUGAUGCAGCCAUGCCGCGUGGAUGAAGAAGGCCUUCGGGUUGUAAAGUUCUUUCAGCGGGGAGGCGUUACCCGCAGAAGAAGCACCGGCUAACUCCGUGCCAGCAGCCGCGGUAAUUC
rnacentral:rRNA from 1 species